UGGGGAGGAGGCCAUAGCCUCCUUGUGGGAGGAAUUGGAGGGACUACAUGAAAAAACAACUUUCUGACCCUAAACGAAAGACCUUCUCUCUUCUGUUUUUGGAAUCUUUUUGCAGGGGCAGAAACCCAGAGGCAAAGAGCAUGCUGAUCAGAAGCAGAGUUAAGUUAUGGCACAUUCAUACUAUAGACUAUUAUAUACCUAUUUAAAGAAUGAAUUCUAUCUAUAGCUGUAGACAUGGCUGGCUGAAGGGGUGGGAAUUUCCAUGCUAUAUUUUUAGGACGUGAGAACAGAGAGAGUAU
rnacentral:lncRNA from 1 species